UUCCCGUACGAUCACCGAAGUUAAGCAACGUCGAGCCUGGUCAGUACUUAGAUGGGUAACCGCUUGGGAUAGCAGGUGCU